rnacentral:rRNA from 1 species
UAGGGAAUCUUCCACAAUGGACGCAAGUCUGAUGGAGCAACGCCGCGUGAGUGAAGAAGGUCUUCGGAUCGUAAAACUCUGUUGUUAGAGAAGAACACGAGUGAGAGUAACUGUUCAUUCGAUGACGGUAUCUAACCAGCAAGUCACGACUAACUACGUGCCAG